rnacentral:misc_RNA from 1 species
UUUCCGUAGGUGAACCUGCGGAAGGAUCAUUGUCAUGUAAUUCAGUCCCCUUGGCUGUGUUAUAUAUAUACCCACUCUGUGUACCUUCUCCUGUUGCUUCCGCUGGGUGUGUAAUUCGCCCGGCGGAAGGGUAAAAAUAACCUCUGAGUAUUGAUGAAAUCUCUGUCUGAACCGAAUAGAAAGAAAAAUGUUAAAACUUUCAGCAACGGAUCUCUUGGUUCUC